rnacentral:SRP_RNA from 1 species
CCGUGCUAGACGGGGAGGUAGCGGUGCCCUGUAGCCCGCAAUCCGCUAUAGCGGGGUCGAAGUCCCACUGGCGGGCCGGGUCUGUAGGGACCGGCCGAUGUAAGGGGUGAAGAGGGCUGGGCCCUGCGCAGCGAGGACUCAUGAACCCCGUCAGGUCCGGAAGGAAGCAGCGGUAAGUGAGCCCCCUCGGGUGCGGCAGGGGCGCCUGGCCGGAGCCACCUGCAUCGGUACCGCCUGGAGAUCCUGUUCAACAGUGGGUGCACGG